AACUCAAAAACUUAGUCUCAGUUCGGAUUGUUAGGCUGAAACUCGCCUACAUGAAGCUGGAGUUGCUAGUAAUCGCGAAUCAGCAUGUCGCGGUGAAUACGUUCCCGGGCCUUGUACACACCGCCCGUCACACCAUGAGAGUUGGCAAUACCCAACGUACGUGAUCUAACCCGCAAGGGAGGAAGCGUCCUAAGGUAGGGUCAGCGAUUGGGGUGAAGUCGUAACAAGGUAAC
rnacentral:rRNA from 1 species